CCUACGGGAGGCAGCAGUGGGGAAUAUUGCACAAUGGGGGAAACCCUGAUGCAGCGACGCCGCGUGAGUGAAGAAGUAAUUCGUUAUGUAAAGCUCUAUCAGCAGGGAAGAAAAUGACGGUACCUGAGUAAGAAGCCCCGGCUAACUACGUGCCAGCAGCCGCGGUAAUACGUAGGGGGCAAGCGUUAUCCGGAUUUACUGGGUGUAAAGGGAGCGUAGACGGCAGUGCAAGUCUGGAGUGAAAGGUGGGGGCUCAACCCCCGGACUGCUCUGGAAACUGUACGGCUGGAGUGCAGGAGAGGUAAGUGGAAUUCCUAGUGUAGCGGUGAAAAGCGUAGAUAUUAGGAGGAACACCAGUGGCGAAGGCGGCUUACUAAACUGUGACUGACAUUGAUGCUCGAAAGUGUGGGUAUCAAACAGGAUUAGAUACCCCUGUAGUC
rnacentral:rRNA from 1 species